UGCCUUUUUUUUUAAUAGCUUGGGCACAAAGGUGAGAAUGGUUAUCAAAAUUUCAAUCAAAAAGUGGUAGAUGCAGAAACUUGGGACAGAGUAUAGUAUGAAUACUUUCGUAUAAGUACUUGGAUGUUAAUUUAAAUAUUUUUGUUUUUUAGAGCAGUCCAUGCUAGGAGGGUUUCUCUCCUCUUUCAGCCAUGAGAAUCCUGUUCACUUCUUUCUGAAUAUGUAUGUUUUGUGGAGUUUUUCUAAUGCCCUUGCUCCAACAUUUGGCAAUUCCCAUUAUCUUGCACUUUAUUUUAGUGGAGGUAAGCCUUUUGUUCAUCUUACUCUAUAACUUUGAAAAAAUUCAUCUUUACAAGAGAAUCUGAAGGAAUGAAAUGUGCAAAUCAUGUUUAUACAGUGUAUGUUAAGUCAUUAAUUUUUUUUUUUAUCAGCUGCUGUGUCCAGCUAUUUUAGUCUCGCAACAAAAGUUCUGAGGAGAAUUCCCAACCCUUCCCUCGGAGCGUCUGGUGCCAUGUGUGCUAUAAUCGGUGUGGUUGGGUGUGCCUUUCCUGACAGCCGGUUCAGCAUCGCCUUUCUCGAUCAGAUUUAUCCCCACUCAUUCUCAGCUAAGUCAGGUAUCCUUGCGUUGCUAACAUUUGAUACCUUGGGGUUGGUGCUACGAUGGAAAAUGUUCGACCAUGCUGCGCAUUUAGGUGGAACGCUAUUUGGCAUAUUUUACAUUACAUAUGGAGCAGAGAUGGUUAGAAAAAGCAGCAGAACAGUUAUUAAAUAUUGGCAUAAAUUAUGCAGUGUUUUUAGUGGAUGACUGUUUUAAAAAAUAAAUAUUGAAAUGAGUUAAGCUUGUGUUAUGGUUAAAUUCAUCUUCAUAAAAUGUCAGUUGUAAUUUUUAUCUCUGUAUAAGAGAGAAUACUGGCUGAAUUAUUUUCUUUUCCUUUCAUUACAAUAUUGUGAUGAAGUGAUUGUCCUCUGACUAAGGACUGUAUCUUAUGAUAAAUGUAUUAUAAUGUAUAUGAUGAAAGUAUUAGGAUAUGAUGCAUGUAUUUGAAAAUACAAGAUAACGAUAAAUGUUGAAAUUAACAACAAAUUAUUUAUAUUAUACGUUGAUUAACUUUAUGUUGACAAAAUGCAUUUUAUUCAUGGUUUUUUUUUUAUCUAAAGGUAAAAAUUUUCCCAAUUUGCAUUUUUGCAACAAAAACAAAAAAAAUGCUCAAUUAAAACUUGAUAAAACAAAAC
rnacentral:misc_RNA from 1 species